CUGCAGAGCGUUGGGCAGAUUGUUGGUGAGGUUCUUAAACAGCUAACAGAAGAGAAAUUUAUUGUGAAGGCUACGAAUGGACCAAGAUAUGUGGUUGGCUGUCGCCGUCAGGUAGCUGAUUUAUGUGAAUACUCACAAA